rnacentral:rRNA from 2 species
GGGACACGUGGUAUCCUGUCUGAAUAUGGGGGGACCAUCCUCCAAGGCUAAAUACUCCUGACUGACCGAUAGUGAACCAGUACCGUGAGGGAAAGGCGAAAAGAACCCCGGCGAGGGGAGUGAAAAAGAACCUGAAACCGUGUACGUACAAGCAGUGGGAGCACCUUCGGGUGUGACUGCGUACCUUUUGUAUAAUGGGUCAGCGACUUAUAUUCUGUAGCAAGGUUAACCGUAUAGGGGAGCCGCAGGGAAACCGAGUCUUAACUGGGCGUUAAGUUGCAGGGUAUAGACCCGAAACCCGGUGAUCUAGCCAUGGGCAGGUUGAAGGUUGGGUAACACUAACUGGAGGACCGAACCGACUAAUGUUGAAAAAUUAGCGGAUGACUUGUGGCUGGGGGUGAAAGGCCAAUCAAACCGGGAGAUAGCUGGUUCUCCCCGAAAGCUAUUUAGGUAGCGCCUCGUGAAUUCAUCUUCGGGGGUAGAGCACUGUUUCGGCUAGGGGGUCAUCCCGACUUACCAACCCGAUGCAAACUACGAAUACCGAAGAAUGUUAUCACGGGAGACACACGGCGGGUGCUAACGUCCGUCGUGAAGAGGGAAACAACCCAGACCGCCAGCUAAGGUCCCAAAGUCAUGGUUAAGUGGGAAACGAUGUGGGAAGGCACAGACAGCCAGGAUGUUGGCUUAGAAGCAGCCAUCAUUUAAAGAAAGCGUAAUAGCUCACUGGUCGAGUCGGCCUGCGCGGAAGAUGUAACGGGGCUAAACCAUGCACCGAAGCUGCGGCAGCGACACUAUGUGUUGUUGGGUAGGGGAGCG